UACGUAGGGUGCAAGCGUUAAUCGGAAUUACUGGGCGUAAAGCGUGCGCAGGCGGUUUUGUAAGUCUGUCGUGAAAUCCCCGGGCUCAACCUGGGAAUUGCGAUGGAGACUGCAAGGCUAGAAUCUGGCAGAGGGGGGUAGAAUUCCACGUGUGAGCAGUGAAAUGCGUAGAGAUGUGGAGGAACACCGAUGGCGAAGGCAGCCCCCUGGGUCAAGAUUGACGCUCAUGCACGAAAGCGUGGGGAGCAAACGAGGAUACGAAACCGU
rnacentral:rRNA from 1 species